GAACCUGCGGAAGGAUCAUUAUCGAAUGAAAUCGGAGUCGGUUGUCGCUGGCCUCUUCACCGAGGCAUGUGCACGCCUUCUCUGUUCAUCCACACACACCUGUGCACUUGUGAGACGGAUUAACCCUCUCGGGGGGACGGUCCGUCUAUCAUACAUAAACUCCAAUAUAUAAAUUUGAAUGUAAUCAGAUGUAACGCAUCUUUAAACUAAGUUUCAACAACGGAUCUCUUGGCUCUCGCAUCGAUGAAGAACGCAGCGAAAUGCGAUAAGUAAUGUGAAUUGCAGAAUUCAGUGAAUCAUCGAAUCUUUGAACGCACCUUGCGCUCCUUGGUAUUCCUCGGAGCAUGCCUGUUUGAGUAUCAUGAAAUUCUCAAAAUAAAUCUUUUGUUAAUUCAAUUGGUUUCAUUUUGGACUUGGAGGUCUGCAGAUUCACGUCUGCUCCUCUUAAAUUCAUUAGCUGGAUCCCUGUGAACUCGGUUCCACUCGGCGUGAUAAGUAUCACUCGCUGAGGACACUGUAAAAAGUGGCCGGGGUUGCUGUAGAACCGCUUCUAAUAGUCUAUUCAAUUGGACAAUUUAUUUAUGAUCUGAUCUCAAAUCAGGUAGGACUACCCGCUGAACUUAAGCAUAUCAAUAAGCGGAGGAAAAGAAACUAACAAGGAUUCCCCUAGUAACGGCGAGUGAAGCGGGAAGAGCUCAAAUUUAAAAUCUGGCGGUCACCCGUCCGAGUUGUAGUCUAGAGAAGCAUCAUCUACGCUGAC
rnacentral:rRNA from 1 species